CAUAGGGCCUCGAUAUUAAUUUUAUUUUUGCAGCGAGGUGGGUUACUCCGGACUUGCCCGGAACCUGCCGGGGUCGGCCCUGCGUAGCAAUAUAGCGGGGAUCGGCCCAGUUCCU
rnacentral:snRNA from 1 species